rnacentral:RNase_P_RNA from 1 species
GAAGCUGACCAGACAGUCGCCGCUUCGUCGUCGUCCUUUCGGGGAGACGGGCGGAGGGGAGGAAAGUCCGGGCUCCAUAGGGCAGGGUGCCGGUAACGCCCGGGGGGAAACCCACGACCAGUGCAACAGAGAGCAAACCGCCGAUGGCCCACGUAAGUGGGAUCAGGUAAGGGUGAAAGGGUGCGGUAAGAGCGCACCGCGCGGCUGGUAACAGUCCGUGGCACGGUAAACUCCACCCGGAGCAAGGCCAAAUAGGGGUUCAUAAGGUACGGCCCGUACUGAACCCGGGUAGGCUGCUUGAGCCAGUGAGCGAUUGCUGGCCUAGAUGAAUGACUGUCCACGACAGAACCCGGCUUAUCGGUCAGUUUCACUU